rnacentral:rRNA from 1 species
UCCAGCAAUGCCGCGUGUGUGAAGAAGGCCUUCGGGUUGUAAAGCACUUUUGUCCGGAAAGAAAUCCUUGGCUCUAAUACAGUCGGGGGAUGACGGUACCGGAAGAAUAAGCACCGGCUAACUACGUGCCAGCAGCCGCGGUAAUACGUAGGGUGCGAGCGUUAAUCGGAAUUACUGGGCGUAAAGCGUGCGCAGGCGGUUUGCUAAGACCGAUGUGAAAUCCCCGGGCUCAACCUGGGAACUGCAUUGGUGACUGGCAGGCUAGAGUAUGGCAGAGGGGGGUAGAAUUCCACGUGUAGCAGUGAAAUGCGUAGAGAUGUGGAGGAAUACCGAUGGCGAAGGCAGCCCCCUGGGCCAAUACUGACGCUCAUGCACGAAAGCGUGGGGAGCAAACAGGAUUAGAUACCCUGGUAGUCCACGCCCUAAACGAUGUCAACUAGUUGUUGGGGAUUCAUUUCCUUAGUAACGUAGCUAACGCGUGAAGUUGACCGCCUGGGGAGUACGGUCGCAAGAUUAAAACUCAAAGGAAUUGACGGGGACCCGCACAAGCGGUGGAUGAUGUGGAUUAAUUCGAUGCAACGCGAAAAACCUUACCUACCCUUGACAUGGUCGGAAUCCUGCU